rnacentral:rRNA from 1 species
AAGAGGAACGCCGGUGGCGAAAGCGGCGCGCUGGGCCUGUCCUGACGCUGAGAUGCGAAAGCCAGGGGAGCAAACGGGAUUAGAUACCCCGGUAGUCCUGGCCCUAAACGAUGUCUACUAGGUCGGAGUCACUCUGACGUGUUUCUGGCCGAAACAAAAGCGUUAAGUAGACCGCCUGGGGAGUACGGUCGCAAGGCUAAAACUCAAAGGAAUUGACGGGGGCUCACACAAGCGGUGGAGCAUGUUGCUCAAUUCGAUGCAACGCGAAGAACCUUAUCCUGGGCUUGACAUGCUUGGAUGCCUACCUGGAAACAGGAUCGGCUGCCCUUCGGGGUGAAGCUGCACAGGUGCUGCAUGGCUGUCGUCAGCUCGUGUCGUGAGAUGUCGGGUUAAGUCCCUUAACGAGCGAAACCCUUGUCGCUAAUUGCCAGCGGGUUAUGCCGGGAACUUUAGCGAGACUGCCGGUGUUAAACCGGAGGAAGGUGGGGAUGACGUCAAGUCCUCAUGGCCUUUAUGCCCAGGGCUGCAAACGUGCUACAAUGGCGUGGACAAACCGACGCAAAACCGCGAGGUCGAGCAAAUCGGAUAAAACACGCCCCAGUUCGGAUUGGAGGCUGCAACCCGCCUCCAUGAAGUUGGAAUCGCUAGUAAUCGCGGAUCGGCUACGCCGCGGUGAAUGUGUUCCUGAGCCUUGUACACACCGCCCGUCAAGUCAUGGGAGCUGGGAGCACCCGAAGUCGGCUCAAUCAGAGCUGCCGAAG